rnacentral:rRNA from 1 species
ACGGGUGAGUAACACGUGGGCAACCUGCCCUUGAGACUGGGAUAACUUCGGGAAACCGGAGCUAAUACCGGAUAAUAUAAGGAACCUCCUGGUUCCUUGUUGAAAGAUGGUUUCGGCUAUCACUUAAGGAUGGGCCCGCGGCGCAUUAGCUAGUUGGUGAGGUAACGGCUCACCAAGGCGACGAUGCGUAGCCGACCUGAGAGGGUGAUCGGCCACACUGGGACUGAGACACGGCCCAUACUCCUACGGGAGGCAGCAGUAGGGAAUCUUCCACAAUGGACGAAAGUCUGAUGGAGCAACGCCGCGUGAGUGAUGAAGGCCUUCAGGUCGUAAAGCUCUGUUGUUAGGGAAGAACAAGUGCGAGAGUAACUGCUCGCACCUUGACGGUACCUAACCAGAAAGCCACGGCUAACUACGUGCCAGCAGCCGCGGUAAUACGUAGGUGGCAAGCGUUAUCCGGAAUUAUUGGGCGUAAAGCGCGCGCAGGUGGUUUCUUAAGUCUGAUGUGAAAGCCCACGGCUCAACCGUGGAGGGUCAUUGGAAACUGGGGAACUUGAGUGCAGAAGAGGAAAGUGGAAUUC